rnacentral:lncRNA from 1 species
GCAAAAACAAAGACGAAAUGCCAAGUGAAAGUAAUCAUAAGCCUCUUCCAAACCUUUGGGACCAAGGAUAAGACUUUGUUUAAGGUUGUCUCUUUUGCGGUGUAAACACACGCGAUCGUGUGAACGACUGCAGAUGUUGUGAGAAGGGAUACAAUUGCAAAGACUACCAAGUACCCGAUCUUGAAGCGGAAGAAGGUCACCCAUUCGGAGUUUGAGCUUAACAUGUUGUCGAUUUCAUUAAAGGAUCUUGAGCCCUUUAAAACAUUGAGGAGCAUAAAUUCAUUGUGAAUGAUUGAUGUGAAGAGUGUUUUGGUGAUUUGGAUGUGGGCUAGGUAUAUGAAGGAGAGAGGGAAGAUCAAGAAUAUUGUAAUUUGAGUGAAGAUUUUUCUCCAUGAUGAAAUUAUAGUGC